rnacentral:rRNA from 1 species
GAAACAUCUUCGGGUUGUGAGGUUAAGCGACUAAGCGUACACGGUGGAUGCCCUGGCAGUCAGAGGCGAUGAAGGACGUGCUAAUCUGCGAUAAGCGUCGGUGAGGUGAUAUGAACCGUUAUAACCGGCGAUUUCCGAAUGGGGAAACCCAGUGUGUUUCGACACACUAUCAUUAACUGAAUCCAUAGGUUAAUGAGGCGAACCGGGGGAACUGAAACAUCUAAGUACCCCGAGGAAAAGAAAUCAACCGAGAUUCCCCCAGUAGCGGCGAGCGAACGGGGAGGAGCCCAGAGCCUGAAUCAGUGUGUGUGUUAGUGGAAGCGUCUGGAAAGGCGCGCGAUACAGGGUGACAGCCCCGUACACAAAAAUGCACAUGCUGUGAGCUCGAUGAGUAGGGCGGGACACGUGGUAUCCUGUCUGAAUAUGGGGGGACCAUCCUCCAAGGCUAAAUACUCCUGACUGACCGAUAGUGAACCAGUACCGUGAGGGAAAGGCGAAAAGAACCCCGGCGAGGGGAGUGAAAAAGAACCUGAAACCGUGUACGUACAAGCAGUGGGAGCCUCUUAAUGGGGUGACUGCGUACCUUUUGUAUAAUGGGUCAGCGACUUAUAUUCUGUAGCAAGGUUAACCGAAUAGGGGAGCCGAAGGGAAACCGAGUCUUAACUGGGCGUUAAGUUGCAGGGUAUAGACCCGAAACCCGGUGAUCUAGCCAUGGGCAGGUUGAAGGUUGGGUAACACUAACUGGAGGACCGAACCGACUAAUGUUGAAAAAUUAGCGGAUGACUUGUGGCUGGGGGUGAAAGGCCAAUCAAACCGGGAGAUAGCUGGUUCUCCCCGAAAGCUAUUUAGGUAGCGCCUCGUGAAUUCAUCUCCGGGGGUAGAGCACUGUUUCGGCAAGGGGGUCAUCCCGACUUACCAACCCGAUGCAAACUGCGAAUACCGGAGAAUGUUAUCACGGGAGACACACGGCGGGUGCUAACGUCCGUCGUGAAGAGGGAAACAACCCAGACCGCCAGCUAAGGUCCCAAAGUCAUGGUUAAGUGGGAAACGAUGUGGGAAGGCCCAGACAGCCAGGAUGUUGGCUUAGAAGCAGCCAUCAUUUAAAGAAAGCGUAAUAGCUCACUGGUCGAGUCGGCCUGCGCGGAAGAUGUAACGGGGCUAAACCAUGCACCGAAGCUGCGGCAGCGACACUAUGUGUUGUUGGGUAGGGGAGCGUUCUGUAAGCCUGUGAAGGUGGCCUGUGAGGGUUGCUGGAGGUAUCAGAAGUGCGAAUGCUGACAUAAGUAACGAUAAAGCGGGUGAAAAGCCCGCUCGCCGGAAGACCAAGGGUUCCUGUCCAACGUUAAUCGGGGCAGGGUGAGUCGACCCCUAAGGCGAGGCCGAAAGGCGUAGUCGAUGGGAAACAGGUUAAUAUUCCUGUACUUGGUGUUACUGCGAAGGGGGGACGGAGAAGGCUAUGUUGGCCGGGCGACGGUUGUCCCGGUUUAAGCGUGUAGGCUGGUUUUCCAGGCAAAUCCGGAAAACCAAGGCUGAGGCGUGAUGACGAGGCACUACGGUGCUGAAGUGACAAAUGCCCUGCUUCCAGGAAAAGCCUCUAAGCAUCAGGUAACAUCAAAUCGUACCCCAAACCGACACAGGUGGUCAGGUAGAGAAUACCAAGGCGCUUGAGAGAACUCGGGUGAAGGAACUAGGCAAAAUGGUGCCGUAACUUCGGGAGAAGGCACGCUGAUAUGUAGGUGAAGCGACUUGCUCGUGGAGCUGAAAUCAGUCGAAGAUACCAGCUGGCUGCAACUGUUUAUUAAAAACACAGCACUGUGCAAACACGAAAGUGGACGUAUACGGUGUGACGCCUGCCCGGUGCCGGAAGGUUAAUUGAUGGGGUUAGCGGUAACGCGAAGCUCUUGAUCGAAGCCCCGGUAAACGGCGGCCGUAACUAUAACGGUCCUAAGGUAGCGAAAUUCCUUGUCGGGUAAGUUCCGACCUGCACGAAUGGCGUAAUGAUGGCCAGGCUGUCUCCACCCGAGACUCAGUGAAAUUGAACUCGCUGUGAAGAUGCAGUGUACCCGCGGCAAGACGGAAAGACCCCGUGAACCUUUACUAUAGCUUGACACUGAACAUUGAGCCUUGAUGUGUAGGAUAGGUGGGAGGCUUUGAAGUGUGGACGCCAGUCUGCAUGGAGCCGACCUUGAAAUACCACCCUUUAAUGUUUGAUGUUCUAACGUUGGCCCCUAAUCGGGGUUGCGGACAGUGUCUGGUGGGUAGUUUGACUGGGGCGGUCUCCUCCUAAAGAGUAACGGAGGAGCACGAAGGUUGGCUAAUCCUGGUCGGACAUCAGGAGGUUAGUGCAAUGGCAUAAGCCAGCUUGACUGCGAGCGUGACGGCGCGAGCAGGUGCGAAAGCAGGUCAUAGUGAUCCGGUGGUUCUGAAUGGAAGGGCCAUCGCUCAACGGAUAAAAGGUACUCCGGGGAUAACAGGCUGAUACCGCCCAAGAGUUCAUAUCGACGGCGGUGUUUGGCACCUCGAUGUCGGCUCAUCACAUCCUGGGGCUGAAGUAGGUCCCAAGGGUAUGGCUGUUCGCCAUUUAAAGUGGUACGCGAGCUGGGUUUAGAACGUCGUGAGACAGUUCGGUCCCUAUCUGCCGUGGGCGCUGGAGAACUGAGGGGGGCUGCUCCUAGUACGAGAGGACCGGAGUGGACGCAUCACUGGUGUUCGGGUUGUCAUGCCAAUGGCACUGCCCGGUAGCUAAAUGCGGAAGAGAUAAGUGCUGAAAGCAUCUAAGCACGAAACUUGCCCCGAGAUGAGUUCUCCCUGAGACUUAGAGUCUCCUGAAGGAACGUUGAAGACGACGACGUUGAUAGGCCGGGUGUGUAAGCGCAGCGAUGCGUUGAGCUAACCGGUACUAAUGAACCGUGAGGCUUAACCUU